ensembl:lncRNA
GUCCAGUGCCAGACAGCUUCCCAUACAGCAAAUUUCCCAUCAAGCACUGAAAGCAUGUUUUUUCUACAUCUGGAAACUGUCCUGCUCCUCACUGGUGUUUGAGUGUUGUUCUGAUAUCCUGCUGAAAAGCCUCCAACCAAAAUCAGCCAACACAAAUUAAUAAAUUACCACCAGUCAGCAGGGGCAGAGUAACUGGACGGUGUGUGUUCUUGUCCUGAUGCACCCUACACCUCAACUGAUUAGCUGUAACUCCAUAAUUAAUGUCGAGUGUCCACCUGUGUCUGCUCUCCUCACUGGUACUGCAUUCCCCAUCUCAGAGCCAAAGAAACUCAAGAGGUCCUCCAAUGAGCAAACACAUUACAUAAGCAUGAGGUGAGACUGGAGACUCUGAGAGGUAGGGAUGUUGAAAGAGCACUGAUUUAUGAGAACUGGAGCAAAGUGGUAACUGAAGCAAUAGCUCCUUUUCCAUGAUGCUGCCCUGUGUUUUGUAACCUACCUCAUGGCCACUGGAUGAUUAGGACCUUUCCUGAGUGCACGAUUUCCCUUACCCUCAGUGUUUAUGAUGGCUGGUUUCAAUUAUUCCUUUCCUUCACACUCUGUAUUUCAACCUGCCUCAGAUGAGCAAUUCAUCUACUCUAUCAAAUAACUUACCAAGAUAGAUUUCACAUGCAAGGCAAAUACAUUUUCCUUCCCCUCAUAAUUCCACAACACUGUUUUUUAGAAUUCUGUUUCUCUUGCCUGAUUCCCAGCAAACCCUUACCCAGAGUAGAGCUUUCUAAUGUGCAGAUUGGAUAUAAAAUGCCAUCAGAUAACAGUGACAUUUCCACCUACUCUGUCCUGACCCUUGUGCCACAACUUUUCCCCCAUGUUACCUGAGCUGAUAUAAAGAGUGAGGUCAGAAAACGUUGCACAGGGCUGAAACAAGACCCCACCAUGGAUUGUCAUGUCCAUGUACAUGACUGAAGUAACUGGUGCCUAUGCAGAUUUGUAUGUAGUGGUGUUCUACGUAUGCAUGUGCACAGCAUGCAUGGCCAUGACGAAUGGUGCCAUGAUGCAUGUGAAAAAGCCCAUUUUUUACACAUGUAUUCAUGCUUUGUGAACUUCUGAUAUCAAUUCAUUUAAGAAUGGAGAGAAAAUUAAGAGAUUUGGUGCAUGUAGUUGCUCAUUCUUAAUACUCUUCUGAUCUUAGCAUAGAUGGGACCUGCACAGAUGAGUGAUGAGCGCUUGGAGGGUGAUUCCGUGGUAGAAGCAUCGUGUGGGUCCCAAGUUGGGUAUGGACACUGCUAUGGCACCCAAGUGAACGGAGCCCUGUGUCAGCAAAAAGCGUGAUGAAUAUCCAGGUGAGCUCAACAAGCACUCAGCAGAAUUCAUCUGCAGCUCAUUGAGGCAACACAGAGAGAGUUCAUGGGGAGUUUAUCAUGGGAACUGCUGAGGGUUAAUGGCCAGCAGAACAGAUUGAGCUGUGGGAUUACUAAAUAAUGAACUUUUCUCUCCAAUAAAUUUGUCCCUGACUUAUAAAAAAUCAAUAACAUACUACAUUUCGGGCUUUUUUUUUCCUUUUCCUUUUGGUGACGGUGGGGAAUGUGGGCUCAGAGUAAUUUUUAAACUACUCUUUCAUAUAUAUGUAUAAAUAUAUUUUACUCUGAUCAUUUAUACAAAAGCUCAGAUGUGCCACAUUUACUGCAGCUUCAUCACCUAGAUAGAUUUUUAUGUGGGUGCCCGGCUAUUGCUUUGUUUAAUCAUUCUUUUCUCUUCCCUCCCCAGUCCCUUGCCUCCCCCUUCCCUUCCAUGCUUUUUAUGACACUAUCGCCAGCGCAGAUAUGCAGGAGGGUUUUCAUGUGAUAUAGGAUGUCGGAGAGGUCAGGUCAGCUGGGACAGAGCCAAAAAUAUUAGCACUUUCUAACUGCUGAGGAGAGAAAUUGAAAUAAUAGCACUUAUAAAUUGGCAGGUUUUCAACUGCAGGAGAAGAGAGGGAUUUUUUGCGUGUGUUUAUUUUGUUUCAGAAGUGGAGAGGAGGCGGAUCCGGUUCUUGGCCACAGAAGAGAUGUUCACUGUGCUUUGGGCUCGUGUUUGUGUUAAAUUUGGCCAGGAAGUGGUUGGUGGGCUGGUAUCUGUUCUCAGACACGCAUUUCCUGUUUUUAACCCAAUCUUUCUUCCCUCCAUCUCUGUAUGGAAAUAGAAUUAUAGAAUCAUUAAUGUUCGAAGAGACCAUUAGGAUCAUCAAGCCCAACCACAGGUCCCUCAGAUGACUGCAUAUAGCAAGUCUCCCCAAAAUACAGGUAAAGAAUCAGCCAAACUGAUGCUGCUCUCUGGAAGUCCAGAAGAGAGGUUACAAGGAGCACCACAAAAAGAGCAUGAAAACAGAAUCAUCACAGAAACAUUCAGAUUGGAUAAGAUCACCAAGAUCAUCAACUCCCACCAUCGAACCACCACCACCACCAUGCCCACUAACCACGUCCCAUGGGUGCCAUGUGCAUCAACAGCUCCACACAGACUCUUCCUCCCUUCGGAUGCAAAAAUGAUCUCACACCGUCACUGUUAGACAGCAUCAGCAAUGGAAAUCACCUCCUCUCACCAAAGCCCAAAGUGCUUUGCAGGAUCUGCCUUCCAAAACCUGCUCUCAUCUGGUCUCCGAUGCUUCACCUCAACCCAGGCACAGCUGUUACGUGUGCCAACCUGGGGAAAUCAGAAGCCAUGCAGCAAUAACUGUUAAUUGACCGAGAGCCACCUCUGCGAUGCCAACAGGAACAAAAGAACAAGCAUCUGGCUUUGCCAUCUGUGCCUGUUUAAAUGCAGCAAAAAGAAACCCUUCUCCAGAUCUCCCAGCUGGGUGGAGAGGUAACUGGAUUCAGCAGCAACGUGGAGUUGCAGGUUGGCUGGGUCUGUGGCUCCUAGUCACUCUGACAUGUGAAACCCUUUGCACGAGACAUGUUGACCUUCCCAGCCCUGGCUUUGUAGAUGAGAGCAAUGAUGGGCUCUGAUGGACGCAACUGAGCAGCCUGGAGUUAUUUCUAGUCAUGGUUGCAGUUCACUGUGAAUAAAAGUCCAGGUGUUCAGAAAUCACUCAGUGCUCAAAGUACUUGCAAGAGCUUUGAUGCACCCUUUACCUCUUUCCAUCUCACUAGGCAUGGCUAGGAGAGCUCUUCAAUGGAUCACAUGUCCUGGAAAAGGACACCUGUCUUGUGCCCCACACAUCCCAGAGGUCAUAAGGAAGGGAUCACUGGUGUUCAGACAACCUCCUCCACCAAAGUCUGCAAAACAAAUUAAAAGCAUAUCAAAUCUUCUGUUUUCCAAGGAGCUUCACAUGAUAAAAGCUGAGUCAGAGGUCUCUGGUGUGCUGGGAUCCUGAAACUUCUAGGAAGAGAGACCUAGACAGAGCAGUGGGUCCAUGAAAACCUCACGCAGUUCAACAAUGCAAGGUUUUCACCCCAACAUAGAGUACGAAGCAUCAGGCCUUCCACCAGGACAGACAUCCUAUUUGUAAACACUGCUUUAUUGUAUCUUACUCUCCUCCAUAAUGCUUUUCACUCCAGCAUGGAUGAACCUUCAUGGGAGUUUUUCCAGUGUCACCCUUAAUAAUGAUAUCAUUCUCUUUUUACCAAGACACUUUGCUAGACUGGAAGACAACAGUUUCGUAUCAGUCCCUCAAGACAAGCCAGUAAUCAUCCAACAGACCAUCUCAUCUUCACUGACCAUUCCUGUGAUGGGAGUUGCUCACGUCAGAGGAGCAUUAAAGGAUGGAUGAGGAGACUUCAUCCAGCAAUUUCCAGCGCACCAUGAUGAAUGGCUGGAGGGUAGCAGGUGACGUCUCAGAGAACAUCUCAAAGGAAAGGACAAAGAUUGAAGCAACUGAACUGCUGUAAGGGCAUAGCUUUUGUCUCCAACUCCACAUGAGUUGCGAGAAGCUCAUAAAUAGAUGAGCAACUCGUAUGCAUUGAGCAACUCAUGUGUAUGUCACUGAAGCUGGAAAUGUUCAAGGAACAUUUAGAUGUUGUGUUGAGGGAUGUGGUUUAGUGAGAACUCUUGGUGAUGGGUGGAUGGUUGGACUGGAUGGUCUUGUAGGUCUUUUCCCACCUUGGCAAUUCUAUGAUUCUAUGAUUGCUACAGCUCAGCGCAGUCUGGAAGUGCUGGAACUCCUUUUCAGCUGCUGGAGCUGAGAUCUCUAAAGGUGCUCAGGUGCCUAAAGAUGCUGACAUGCUUACUAGGCUUUGCAGAAGUGCUCAUUUUUUAAAGUCCUUAUAGUUAUCUCUCUUCAGACUCCAAAGUGGCUCCAGAAAGCUGCUCUGGAAAGUCUACAGAUACAUGAACAAUGUUUUAAUCCUCUGACCAGAGAAAAAUCUCUGUCCUUCCAGCCACCUGGUGCACAGCAGUUCAUAUGCACACCGCUGAGGCACACCACCCUGGAAUGAUUCCUUUCCUCUAAGCCCGUCUAGCCAGCAUGUCAUUAUUAUUUUUGAGUGAUCAUGUGUUUUGAGAUCAAAGGACUUAAAAUAAAGCAAUAGCUGUGUUGCAGCCAGCCUCACUGCGUGGUUCUGAAAGUGUAUACGUGUUGUCUGCCUUGUUGGGAAAGCACAGGAAUAAAGAGAGUUCAGAGGAUACAAAUCAGGUUGCUCAGAGAAGCUGUGGAUGCCCCAUCCCUGGAGGUGCCCAAGGCCAUGAUGAGUGUGGCCCUGGGCAACCUGAGCUGGUGGGCAGCAACCAGCCCACAGGAGGGAGGUUGAAACCCUAUGAUCUUUAAGAUCCUUUCAUGGGCUAAAACAUGCCCAGAACACUAAUCCAGAGUUUCCUCACUCCUAAAAGGAGUUGAGGAUGGACCAUAUAUUGUACGAUCAAGGGACCAAACAGCAGAGAAUUCACUCACUGGGCAGUACAGAAGUAACAUACAACUCAGAUCCACAGAAAGACCCACAGGGAGCUGAACACGUCAGAGCAGCUUCUCCCUCAGCACUGCAGGUAGGAUUUCCUGAAAGACUCACCGACUUUCUGCACCUGCUCCCCUUGGCAUCAAUAAGAGGAGGAGGGGAAAGAAGGGAACUGCUAUUGAUUGUGAAAAUGCAAUUCAGCGGAUGCUUCAAGAAAUCAGAAUCUUAGAAUCAGAGAAUAUUCUGAGUUGGAAGAGACCCACAAUGACCAUCAAGUCCAACCCCUGACUCCACACAGCAGCACCUAAACCCUAUGUCUGAGAGUGAUGUCCCUGUGCCCAUUGCCUUGGGCAGCCUGCUCCUCUGGUGGGGGCCUAUCCCUCCAAUUAAUCCUCCUUCCUCCAUUCUCUGCUUCAAGGAAGUGUCCAGCCAAACCUUCGUGAUUCACGCUAUAAAGAGAU